GAAAGAGAAAAAAGAGGAUUUAAAAUUUUUUCCCUCUUGAGAUUUUUGGGAGUUUGGGUUUCGUUUUGUGCAGAGUGGCGCAGGUCGUGACUCACCCGCACGACCUCGGCUCAGGGGAGGUGCCGCUACCUGCUGUCCCUCUCUUCGCUUUCCAAGCAUGACCUGUCCCGGGCAGGCAGCCGGAUCGAUAUGGGGGUCGGAGGGCGCUUGGGAACCUGUUUCCCAGACCUGGGGAGGAGAGCGCGCCGGAACUCUGUUGUGACUUGGAGGAAAGUGAGUUCGCUCCCCUUUUCUUUUUCUGGCUGCCAAGGGCCAGAAGCGUCCACUAGCCGACCCGUUCCAGCCACCCGCCUCCCCCUCGGGCUGCUUCCUCUCCCCGGAGUUGGGACCCGCGGCAGUCCGGCGCCGAGGCUGCUUUUCCGCGUCCGGAUUUCUCUGCAGCCAGCGCUCUAUACCAGUCCGCGCCGCAGGAGAGCGCGCCAGGACCCGGGACCCGGAAACCCCUAACAAUUCGGUCCCACGAAGGUCCUGGCGCCCAUUCUCGGCCUCGCUGAGGCGACCAGGUGGAAACCAAGUGCAGUUCUGGGUUGCAAGCUCCGCUCCGCAGAGGCGAGGCGGGCCUCUCAGUCCCCGCGCGGAUCCCUGCAGUGCGCACCGUUCCCUUCUCCCCAACUUGAGCGGCAGGGCUGAGCUGCCUGAAGCGCCCAAGGAAUCAGGCAGAGAGGAGCUCUAAUCUUUCUUGAGGAGGUGAACAGCCCAGGCUAAGAAUGACCCUUGGUCAUCAGGGACCCAGGAUCCUCUGUCUUCAGCUGUGCCAGCCCAACCAGGAAGCUUUCAUCCUCACGCUGUCUCUGAGUCCAAGAUGGCUGCUUGAGCUCAGCUACCAUCACCUCAUUCCAGACAACAAGAAGGAGGAGUGAAAUGAGGUAGAAGAGUCCUCUCCCUUUUAAUGAGCCUUUUUGGAAUCCACAGACAACUCCUCAGCUUAUACCUCAUUGAGAAGAACUGAGGCACAUGGCCAUGCUUCCCUGCAAGGGAGGCUGGAGAAAGUAAUGUUUAGCUGGGUACACUGCUGCCUCAAAUAAAUUCAGGGUUCUGUUACUCAGGGGAGCCAGAAGGGUGGGAGUUGGGAUAGAACAUUAGCAGACUCUCCUGCAAUCCAUAGGCAGGGUCACCCAGGACUGGAGUCAGGAGAGAGCUCUCUUGUUGGCCUUCCAGGGGGUCACUGGUUGGUGACUUGUACCUCUAAACCAUGGAUUCUUGUUGAUAAAGUGGACAGGGGUGAUACUUGAUAAGCCCUCAGAAGUUGUAAUUCUUGUUCCUUUUAGGUGCCUAGAGUUGCACACUGCAAUGAUUUAGACUGGGAUUGUCAAAAGGAAUUUUUAUCCCUAUUAAAGCUCUUUGGUUAGA